GCCUGGCUGGCUCAGUUGGUAGAGCAUGCAACUCUUGAUCUCAGAGUUGUGGGUUCAAGCCCCAUGCUGGGCA